AGUGAACGCUGGCGGUAGGCCUAACACAUGCAAGUCGAACGGCAGCACAGUAAGAGCUUGCUCUUACGGGUGGCGAGUGGCGGACGGGUGAGGAAUACAUCGGAAUCUACUUUUUCGUGGGGGAUAACGUAGGGAAACUUACGCUAAUACCGCAUACGACCUACGCGUGAAAGCAGGGGAUCUUCGGACCUUGCGCGAUUGAAUGAGCCGAUGUCGGAUUAGCUAGUUGGCGGGGUAAAGGCCCACCAAGGCGACGAUCCGUAGCCGGUCUGAGAGGAUGAUCAGCCACACUGGAACUGAGACACGGUCCAGACUCCUACGGGAGGCAGCAGUGGGGAAUACUGGACAAUGGGCGCAAGCCUGAUCCAGCCAUACCGCGUGGGUGAAGAAGGCCUUCGGGUUGUAAAGCCCUUUUGUUGGGAAAGAAAAGCAGCAGGUUAAUACCCCGCUGUUCUGACGGUACCCAAAGAAUAAGCACCGGCUAACUUCGUG
rnacentral:rRNA from 1 species